GCCCCUUCUAGUAUAGUGGUUAUGAUACUCGGCUUGUAAUCGAGCGGGUUCGGGUUCAAAUCCCGAGUAAGGCA